rnacentral:rRNA from 1 species
CCCUUAGAUGUUCUGGGCCGCACGCGUGCUACACUGAGUGGAUCAGCGGGUCAGGUUGCGCGAAAGCGUUUCCUAAUCUUUAAAUCCGCUCGUGAUGGGGAUUGACGGUUGCAAUUUUCUGUCAUGAACGAGGAAUACCUUGUAAGCGCGGGUCAUCAUCCCGCGCUGAAUACGUCCCUGCCCUUUGUACACACCGCCCGUCGCUCCUACCGAUUGAAUGGUCCGGUGAAGCGUUUGGACUAUGGUUUUCUGACGGUUCGCCAUUGGAUUACCGUGGGAAAUUCGUUAAACCUUAUCAUUUAGAGGAAGGAGAAGUCGUAACA